rnacentral:lncRNA from 1 species
AUGCAGAGUGAAUGAAAUUUAUUAGGUUAAUCUAACGAGACAGUUAGUGGAUACAAGAUCAUGAGUAUAAAGCGGUAUCGAAGAUUAGCAGUUUGGGUUGUUCAGGAUUCUCUGUAAUGUCUAGAGAGCUACCGGCUGGGACAAAAAGGACUUUGACAAGCAGUCGAAGGGCAUUUGUAUAGAUUUACGGUGUAUUCUUGUAGUUGUUUAUAUUCCAACAGUCAAAAACCGAUAGAGUGUUUGAAUAUUAGCGAAUCUCUAUACUACCUUCUACAGCCAGACGCCCGACGGGUUCUCGAGCAGGAAAGCACGUAAUACGACAUCGUUAUACUGCUCUGCUGGAUUCUCUCACUUCAUACA